rnacentral:rRNA from 1 species
CCUACGGGGGCAGCAGUGGGGAAUAUUGGACAAUGGGCGAAAGCCUGAUCCAGCCAUGCCGCGUGUGUGAAGAAGGCCUUCGGGUUGUAAAGCACUUUCAGUGGGGAAGAAAGCCUUGGGGCUAAUACCCUCGAGGAAGGACAUCACCCACAGAAGAAGCACCGGCUAACUCCGUGCCAGCAGCCGCGGUAAUACGGAGGGUGCGAGCGUUAAUCGGAAUUACUGGGCGUAAAGCGCGCGUAGGCGGUCUGAUAAGCCGGUUGUGAAAGCCCCGGGCUCAACCUGGGAACGGCAUCCGGAACUGUCAGGCUAGAGUGCAGGAGAGGAAGGUAGAAUUCCCGGUGUAGCGGUGAAAGGCGUAGAGAUCGGGAGGAAUACCAGUGGCGAAGGCGGCCUUCUGGACUGACACUGACGCUGAGGUGCGAAAGCGUGGGUAGCAAACAGGAUUAGAUACCCCGGUAGUC